AAUGAAAUGUUAUUCGUUUUUAAAUAUAUCUAGUUUUUUAAGAAAUAAAUUUAAUUUAUUUAUUAUUAAUAAAAGAUUUAUUGAUUAAUUUUUUAUUAUUAAUAUUAAAUGUUUUAAGGGAUGAGCUUUAAAGCAGAUAUUUAUUAAUUUUUAUUGGUAAUUAAAUUGUAAGAUUAGAAUUUUCUAUCAUUAAAAGGAUGUUAAAAUUAAUUUAUUUAAUUUUAUUAUUUUUAUUAAUUAUAAAUUUUUUAUUAAAAUUUAAAUUAUAAUAUUGUAAAUUUAGUAAUAAUGAUAAAAUUAGUAUAAUUUAUUUUAUUAAGUAUUUAUAUUUAAAAGAUUUAAUAAAGGAAUUCGGCAAAAGAUUUUUUACCUGUUUAUUAAAAACAUGUCCUUUUGUAAAUAAUUUAAGGUCUAACCUGCCCACUGAAUUUUUAAAUGGCCGUGGUAUUUUGACCGUGCUAAGGUAGCAUAAUCAUUAGUUUUUUAAUUAAGAACUGGAAUGAAAGGUUGGAUAAGAAAAUAGCUGUCUCUAUUAAAUU
rnacentral:rRNA from 1 species